AUUGAACGCUGGCGGCAUGCCUUACACAUGCAAGUCGAACGGUAACGCGGGGCAACCUGGCGACGAGUGGCGAACGGGUGAGUAAUGCAUCGGAACGUGCCUGGUAGGGGGGGAUAACUGCUCGAAAGAGCAGCUAAUACCGCAUACGACCUGAGGGUGAAAGGGGGGGAUCGCAAGACCUCUCGCUAUCAGAGCGGCCGAUGUCGGAUUAGCUAGUUGGUGGGGUAAAGGCCCACCAAGGCGACGAUCCGUAGCUGGUCUGAGAGGACGACCAGCCACACUGGGACUGAGACACGGCCCAGACUCCUACGGGAGGCAGCAGUGGGGAAUUUUGGACAAUGGACGCAAGUCUGAUCCAGCCAUGCCGCGUGCGGGAAGAAGGCCUUCGGGUUGUAAACCGCUUUUGUCAGGGAAGAAAUCUUCUGGGUUAAUACCUCGGGAGGAUGACGGUCCCUGAAGAAUAAGCACCGGCUAACUACGUGCCAGCCGCCGCCGUAA
rnacentral:rRNA from 1 species